GAUGAACGCUGGCGGCGUGCUUAACACAUGCAAGUCGAACGGAGUACCCGAGAAUGAAGCUUCGGCAGAUUUCUUGGACUACUUAGUGGCGGACGGGUGAGUAACGCGUGAGCAAUCUGCCCUUAAGAGGGGGACAACAGUUGGAAACGACUGCUAAUACCGCAUGAUGUACCGAGGAGGCAUCUCUUUGGUACCAAAGGAGCAAUCCGCUGUAAGAUGGACUCGCGUCCAAUUAGAUAGUUGGUGAGGUAAUGGCUCACCAAGUCGACGAUUGGUAGCCGGACUGAGAGGUUGAACGGCCACAUUGGGACUGAGACACGGCCCAGACUCCUACGGGAGGCAGCAGUGGGGGAUAUUGCACAAUGGAGGAAACUCUGAUGCAGCAACGCCGCGUGAGGGAAGAAGGUUUUCGGAUUGUAAACCUCUGUUUUUAGUGAAGAACAAAUGACGGUAGCUAAAGAGGAAGCCACGGCUAACUACGUGCCAGCAGCCG
rnacentral:rRNA from 1 species